rnacentral:tRNA from 1 species
GGCUCAGUGGUAGAGCGAGUUAUUGGUAAGAACUAGGCCGUGGGUUCGAUUCCCACAGGCG